rnacentral:misc_RNA from 1 species
AACUAAUCGUCCCUCGUGAAAUAUUACAGGGCUUAGAAGCUUGUUUCUUGGCAGUGGCUCACACUUGGUUCUUGGCACCAUGUAUCCUUCCUGAACUUUACCAAGAAAUUUAUAUGUUAAGACUUGGAAAAUUUUUUAAAUAUAACUGUUAUUUUCAUAUUUAAUGAUUUUUUUUACUUAAAGUCAGUUUAUCAUGAACUUAACAUACAAGAAACAUGGUAAAACUUAUUAAAUACAUGAGUCCCAUAUGAUUAUAUUUUGAAUUCAUAAUAUAUUCGGUUUAGGCAAGAAUUACCCAUUGUUUGAUCUUCCUUGCAAAUCAUGAAUCAUGCAUGCCUCUUACGUGAGGUUCAUGAUUACACUUUCACUUGAAAUAGAAAGAGUUGUAUAGUUUAGACAUGAAGAAUGUACGCUAUGCUUUUUAUUUUCCCUAACGUAUGUUGCCUGAAAAAUAAAUGUUUUUCAAUUUUGAAAUGAUAUGAAUAUUAUUUAAUUUAAAAAAUAUUCAUUGGUAGAAAUAAAUACUAUUUUGCUUGAAACUAUUAUAUAAUUAAGAAUUUAUUUAAGAAAUUAAUAAAGAAAAACAAGGAAAGCGAUAAAAUGCCAAAACAAUAGAAGUCCUUGAUAAAUUUAAAUGGAUUUUCUUGCCUAAAUUAGGUUAAUUAUGAGUUUAAAACACAAAAUAUAUAAAGUGAAAUCCAUUUAUAGGUCUCACAUAUUUGAGUAUUGAAUGAUGGACUUAAUUUAAGCAAAAAUUUGGUGGAUUUGUGUUCCUUCUUGAUUUCAUGGGUAAAAUUGUGUUGCCUUAAUUAAAAACUAUCACCAAACCUACAAUAAUUGUUGUGCUGUAAGUAUAGGAUAUGUUGAGUUAAGAAACAACUCAUACAAAAUUCAGAAAAUGCAUUAACAAGCUCAUAAAGAAGAAGGAUAAUAAGGAGAAGAAAUUACAGUUCUUCAGAU